AGGUUGAUCAGAGAAGCACACAAGAAAGGAGCAAAGAUUGUACUCGUUCAGGAAUUGUUUGAGGGGCACUAUUUCUGCCAAGCUCAAAGACUGGAUUUCUUUCGGCGCACUAAGCCUUACAAAGGCAAUCCAACUAUUAUAAGGAUGCAACAGCUUGCAAAGGAGCUGGAAGUUGACACUAG